rnacentral:rRNA from 1 species
GAUGAACGCUGGCGGCGUGCCUAAUACAUGCAAGUCGAGCGAACGGACGCGACGCUUGCUUCUCUGAUGUUAGCGGCGGGCGGGUGAGUAACACGUGGAUCACCUCCUUAUCUGACUGGGAUAACUUCGGAACACCGGAUCUAAUCCCGGAUAAUAUUUUGAACCGCAUGGUUCAAAGGUGAAAGACGGUCUUGCUGUCACUUAUAGAUGGUUCCGCGCUGCAUUAGCUAGUUGGUAAGGUAACGGCUUACCAAGGGAACGAUGCAUAGCCGACCUGAGAGGGUGAUCGGCCACACGGGAACUGAGACACGGUCCAGACUCCUACGGGAGGCAGCAGUAGGGAAUCGUCCGCAAUGGGCGAAAGCCUGACGGAGCAACGCCGCGUGAGUGAUGAAGGUCUUCGGAUCGUAAAACUCUGUUAUUAGGGAAGAACAUAUGUGUAAGUAACUGUGCACAUCUUGACGGUACCUAAUCAGAAAGCAACGGCUAACUACGUG